GUGCUGUGAGCUCGAUGAGUAGGGCGGGACACGUGGUAUCCUGUCUGAAUAUGGGGGGACCAUCCUCCAAGGCUAAAUACUCCUGACUGACCGAUAGUGAACCAGUACCGUGAGGGAAAGGCGAAAAGAACCCCGGCGAGGGGAGUGAAAAAGAACCUGAAACCGUGUACGUACAAGCAGUGGGAGCCCCACCACUAAGCCAGUGGUGAACUCCACAUACGCAUCCUUUGCUGAGGAUACGGUUAACGGAGCGAAAGCGACGUUCAACCUCAAAAGAAGCAGAGGGGGCUUAGUGGUGGGGUGACUGCGUACCUUUUGUAUAAUGGGUCAGCGACUUAUAUUCUGUAGCAAGGUUAACCGUAUAGGGGAGCCGCAGGGAAACCGAGUCUUAACCGGGCGUUAAGUUGCAGGGUAUAGACCCGAAACCCGGUGAUCUAGCCAUGGGCAGGUUGAAGGUUGGGUAACACUAACUGGAGGACCGAACCGACUAAUGUUGAAAAAUUAGCGGAUGACCUGUGGCUGGGGGUGAAAGGCCAAUCAAACCGGGAGAUAGCUGGUUCUCCCCGAAAGCUAUUUAGGUAGCGCCUCGUGAACUCAUCUCCGGGGGUAGAGCACUGUUUCGGCUAGGGGGCCAUCCCGGCUUACCAACCCGAUGCAAACUGCGAAUACCGGAGAAUGUUAUCACGGGAGACACACGGCGGGUGCUAACGUCCGUCGUGAAGAGGGAAACAACCCAGACCGCCAGCUAAGGUCCCAAAGUCAUGGUUAAGUGGGAAACGAUGUGGGAAGGCCCAGACAGCCAGGAUGUUGGCUUAGAAGCAGCCAUCAUUUAAAGAAAGCGUAAUAGCUCACUGGUCGAGUCGGCCUGCGCGGAAGAUGUAACGGGGCUAAACCAUGCACCGAAGCUGCGGCAGCGACACUAUGUGUUGUUGGGUAGGGGAGCGUUCUGUAAGCCUGUGAAGGUGGCCUGUGAGGGUUGCUGGAGGUAUCAGAAGUGCGAAUGCUGACAUAAGUAACGAUAAAGCGGGUGAAAAGCCCGCUCGCCGGAAGACCAAGGGUUCCUGUCCAACGUUAAUCGGGGCAGGGUGAGUCGACCCCUAAGGCGAGGCCGAAAGGCGUAGUCGAUGGGAAACGGGUUAAUAUUCCCGUACUUGGUGUUACUGCGAAGGGGGGACGGAGAAGGCUAUGUUGGCCGGGCGACGGUU
rnacentral:rRNA from 1 species